rnacentral:misc_RNA from 1 species
CGCUUUCUUUCCAGAAAGUUCGCCAAGCCAAUAAGUUCUACUGUGGAGAGAAACGCAAAUUUCCAGUUAAUUUGGAUUGUUUAAAUCCGAGAAAACGAUGGCAACGGAUGUGGAGCCGGCGGCGAAUACGGCGGACAAGUUCUCCGCCAACGCUGAGGAGCUGGAGGGCUACUAUCUGAUGCUGGAGGCGGGAAAUAUUCCGGAACUGCAGUGGCAAUUUCCGGGACGCAGGGCUCCAUCGCCGGAGGCGGGAUCUGGCGGCAAUAGCAAGGAACUCGAGCAGGCCACCGACGCCAUUGAGCAGGAACCGCAGAAGGCCAACGAUUUUGAUUUCAGCGACGAUGUGGCCCCCACCCAGAUGCGCGUCCGCAGCCAGACGUCCACGCCAAAGUCGGCCAAAAAGAAGACGGCCAACUUCGCCGGCGUCAUGGAGACGCUGAAGAAGAAGAACGCAGAGAGCUCAUAGCACACGCCGAAAUUCUGAUGCUGAUCCGGCCCAGGCAAUCGGCUGCAGAUCGUACUAUAUCGCCAUGCGGACUAGCCUACAAGCAUCAGUCGUCUUACAGCCAUCGAUAGUAGGCGCUGUGAAGCUCUACUGCAAAUCGGAUCAAUGUAAGGAUUUAGAAAGAGUUUGAACUUCAACUCACUUAAGAUUUAAAUUAGGAUUAGAUUUAGUUAGCAUUUAGAGAGGAAGUUUCAACUUCAAAAAAUGGGCUUACCUAUGACCUCUAUUAGUUAGUAUCUAAAGAGGAAGCUUAUACCUCAAAUCAAAGGCGUGUAAUUACUUAAAUAACCAUAUGACUAGCUUUUAGCUGAGAACUUUGCCAACCUCAGACAUACAUGUAACUUGCUUUUAAGGUUGUUAACUGCCAUUGCAUUGGUCAGUUCUUCAUUUUAGACUAAGAACUUGUAAUUGAGAAGAUAGCCUAGAACUAAUCAACUUAUGUUUAAGCAGAGGGAUGUGUAUCUGAUCCUUAAUUAGCACUUAGGAAAUUUACGUUCUAAAUGAUAAUUAUCCUUAUUUGAUCUAUUAUGACAAUAUUCUUGAUAGUAUUGUCCGAAACCGACGUUUGAAGACUAGAAUAUAGGAAAGAACGGAUGUAAAUUUAAAUCCAAGUCGGGUAAAGCGGAAACCUAGAUAGGCAACUGGAAAUCAGUCAACUUCUGUACAUACAAGAACUGAAUUUCACAAAUAGCUGUUAAAACUAGAAUAUAGAAUAUAGUAUAAAACAGAUGUAAAUUUAAAUUUAAGACGAGUAAAGCAACUGGAGAUCAGUCAACUUCUGUACAUACAAAAACUGAAUAUAAAAUAGAAUUAGAAUAUAGAAUAGAAUAUAGAAUAUAGAAUAUAGAAUAUAGAAUAGAAUUAGAAUAUAGAAUAUAGUAUAGAACGGAUGUAAAUUGAAAUCCAAGGCGUGUAGAGCAGAUUACUAGAUAGGCAACUGGAGAUCAGUCAACUUCUGUACAUACAAGAACUGAAUAUAGAAUAGAAUUAGAAUAUAGAAUAGAAUUAGAAUAUAGAAUAUAGUAUAGAACGGAUGUAAAUUUAAAUCCAAGGCGUGUAAAGCAGAUUAGUUAGUUAUUAGGCAACUGGCUUUACUCAACUUCUUCAAACAGCUUUUAGCUGUGCUGAUUAGUUGCUCUACUAAACUAUCUUAAACAAUGGCUACUUCUCCUAAUGAGCUAAAAAUAGACUAAGAAUUUUGACAAACAAAGGAAAAUGUAACUCUAUCCCUUUCGUUUCCGUAGGAAAACCUUAUAUAUAAGAUGAUAUUAUAAUAUGAUAUAUGAUGUUAUGUAUAGAUUGGAAUUCCCAUAUGGAAAUGAUAAAAUAAAUGCAUAUGCUGCGAACUCAAUGGUUUGCAGUUAAUAAAAGUUCGCAUUUAAACACGUAA